GUAAUUAUAGCUUAUUGGAGAGUUUAAUAUUGAAGAUAUUAAGGGGAAAAAUGUUUUCUAAUUACA
rnacentral:tRNA from 1 species